UGAAUUUCGGGCAGAUUUGGU
rnacentral:miRNA from 1 species